CCUACGGGAGGCUGCAGUCGAGAAUCUUCGGCAAUGGGCGCAAGCCUGACCGAGCGACGCCGCGUGCGGGAUGAAGGUCUUCGGAUUGUAAACCGCUGUCGGAGGGGAUGAAAUGCAUGGGGGUACUCCCCUGUGUUUGACAGAGCCUCGGAGGAAGCACGGGCUAAGUUCGUGCCAGCAGCCGCGGUAAUACGAACUGUGCGAACGUUAUUGGGAAACGGGGGGGUUGGAGGGUGCGUAAGUGGGGUGUGAAAUCCCCCGGCUCAACCGGGGAACGGCGCUUGAAACUGGGGUGCUCGAGUGAGGUAGGGGUGGAUGGAACUUCCGGUGGAGCGGUGAAAUGUGUAGAUAUCGGAAGGAACGCCGGCGGCGAAAGCGGUACACUGGGCCUUGUCUGACGCUGAGGCACGAAAGCUAGGGGAGUGAACGGGAUUAGAUACCCGUGUAGUC
rnacentral:rRNA from 1 species